UACGGAGGGGCAAGCGUUGUUCGGAAUUACUGGGCGUAAAGGGCGCGCAGGCGGCUGCUCAAGUCAGGCGUGAAAGCCCCGGGCUCAACCUGGGAAUGGCGAUGGAUACUGGCGGGCUAGAGUGCGGUAGAGGAGAGUGGAAUUCCCGGUGUAGCAGUGAAAUGCGUAGAGAUCGGGAGGAACAUCAGUUGCGAAGGCGGCUCUCUGGACCAGCACUGACACUGAGGCACGAAAGCGUGGGAGCAAACAGG
rnacentral:rRNA from 1 species